AAAUUGAAGAGUUUGAUCAUGGCUCAGAUUGAACGCUGGCGGCAGGCCUAACACAUGCAAGUCGAACGGUAACAGGAAACAGCUUGCUGUUUCGCUGACGAGUGGCGGACGGGUGAGUAAUGUCUGGGAAACUGCCUGAUGGAGGGGGAUAACUACUGGAAACGGUAGCUAAUACCGCAUAACGUCGCAAGACCAAAGAGGGGGACCUUCGGGCCUCUUGCCAUCGGAUGUGCCCAGAUGGGAUUAGCUAGUAGGUGGGGUA
rnacentral:rRNA from 5 species